rnacentral:lncRNA from 1 species
UUGAUGGAUCAUAGUCAACAACAAGGUCAAUUUUUAUUCUUUUUUUUUUAUAAAUUUUUUGGGUAUGCAAUUUCUUAUUGAUUGAUAUGUUUUUCUUGAUUGAUUUGUUUAAGUUCAUUUGAUGAAUCUGCAGAUUUAUAAACAAAUUUCAGUCUCUCAAAUUUAUAUUUUUCAACUUCAGUUUUGCAUGUAUGAAAUUCUCCUAGAUUCAAGUUUUUGGGUGUUGGAAAAACUAAGGUAAAAGAAAUCAAUUUGAUUGAGAAUGUGCUAAUUUCCUUUUCUCUUAUUUUGUUAUGUUUGGUGUUUUAUGAACCAAUUUCAAUCUCUCAAAUUUAUAUUCUUCAACUUCAGUUCUUGCGUGUAGGAAAUUCUCAAUAGAUUCAAGCUUUUGGGUGUUGGAAAAACUAAGGUAAGAGAAACCAACCUUCUCUUUUUAUUAUUUCUCUUUUAUACCAAACCCUAAGACCCUAGAAGAUGGACAAAAGAGAUUUUAUAAGUUAAAACGGACAAUAUAUGUUUAGGUUGCAAGUUCAUGUAAAAGAAGAAAUAUUUAUGUUAAAUUUGUGUAGACAUACAUGUGGUAAAUUUAGUAUAACUCUCUGAAUAUAGGUCAUAUGCUAAAUAUUUUUAAUCCACUACAAAGAAGACAAAAUUUCCUACAAUUUAGUCACCGGAAAUGUUAAAUUCCCAUAAGUAUAGUAGGAGAAAAGCUACCUACAAGUUUGAGUGUAGUUUCAGUCCUGUUUCUGUACCAAUACCCAAUCUUUUGUUAAACUGAACCAAUUGGAUGGUUAAACCUCAAAACAAAAAUUAUAUUUGUAAUCUUGACAUCCUAAGCUUUCAAACGAGUGGUCGUUUACUCAAAACGGAUAUCGUUUGGUAUUUUAAUUAAGUUGCGAAAUUUAAGGUGUUGUUGCUAUGUUUGUGCAGAAAAAUCUGUUUCUGUACCAAUACCCAAUCUUUUGUUAAACUGGACCAAUUGGAUGGUUAAAACUUAAAACAAAAAUUAUAUCUGUAAUCUUGAAAUCCUAAUCUUUCCAACGAGUGGUCGUUUACUCGAAACGGAUAUCGUUUGGUAUUUUAAUUAAACUGCGAAAGUUAAGGUGGUGUUGCUAUGUUUGUGCAGAAAAACUGAUUUUAAAACUAGAUUCAAGUUUUUGGGUGUUGGAAAAACUAAGGUAAAAGAAAUCAAUUUGAUUGAGAAUGUGCUAAUUUCCUUUUCUCUUAUUUUGUUAUGUUUGGUGUUUGUUUUAUGAACCAAUUUCAAUCUCUCAAAUUUAUAUUCUUCAACUUCAGUUUUUGCAUGUAGGAAAUUCUCAAUAGAUUCAAGCUUUUGGGUGUUGGAAAAACUAAGGUAAGAGAAACCAACCUUCUCUUUUUAUUCUUUCUCUUUUAUACCAAACCCUAAGACCCUAGAAGAUGGACAAAAGAAAUUUUAUAAGUUAAAAUGGACAAUAUAUGUUUAGGCUGCAAGUUCAUGUAAAAGAAGAAAUAUUUAUGUGAAAUUUGUGUAGACAUACAUGUGGUAAAUUUAGUAUAACUCUCUUAAUAUAGGUCAUAUGCUAAAUAUUUUUAAUCCACUACAAAGAAUACAAAAUUUCCUACAAUUUAGUCACCGGAAAUGUUAAAUUCCCAUAAGUAUAGUAGGAGAAAAGCUACCUACAAGUUUGAGUAUAGUUUUAGUCCUGUUUCUGUACCGAUACCCAAUAUUUUGUUAAACUGGACCAAUUGGAUGGUUAAACCUUAAAACAAAAAUUAUAUUUGUAAUCUUGACAUCAUAAACUUUCAAAAGAGUGGUCGUUUACUCAAAACGGAUAUCGUUUGGUAUUUUAAUUAAGUUGCGA